rnacentral:rRNA from 1 species
GACGAACCGAGCGAACGUUGUUCGGAAUAACUGGGCUUAAAGGGCGCGUAGGCGGGCUGUCAAGUCUGGGGUGAAAUCCCGCGGCUCAACCGCGGAACUGCCUCAGAUACUGACGGCCUCGAGGGAGGUAGGGGCGAGCGGAACGAAUGGUGGAGCGGUGAAAUGCGUUGAUAUCAUUCGGAACUCCGGUGGCGAAGGCGGCUCGCUGGACCUCUUCUGACGCUGAGGCACGAAAGCUAGGGUAGCGAACGGG